rnacentral:lncRNA from 1 species
GCACAUUGUGUAUCAUUUUGCACCUCCAAGAACAUAUCAUAAAUAUGCAAAAGGAAGAGCAAAGCCCAAGGAAGAGGGAGAAAUUGCACGCAAAUGAGAAGACAGCUGAGUCAGCAAGAUGGAUGCCAGGAAGGGGAAAAGAGAGAAAGUGAAUUCUGCUAUGGUCUGUCCUGAGACCCGCCCUUACAGCUGGAAUUUUAGGUCCUGAGAUCCACCAUGGGGAGAACAUGUCCCAGGCAGUAAGGACAGAGACUUCAAGUCGGUCGGAAGCCUAGAGUCCAACCUGGCCCAACCAAGUCCUGCCUACAUCAACCAAACCACAUGCAUAUUGUGAGAAUAAAAAUAAAUGUUUAUUUGUAAGCCA